rnacentral:lncRNA from 1 species
UCAAAAUCCCUUUUAUAAGCAACCCCUCAACAUAUACACAAUUAUCAGUUAGCAGCUCAGAAUCUGAAACUUUUUACCGGAGCCCUUCUGAGCGUCCAUUUGCACUCAAAUUUGAUAGUCAGACUCGGUUUAAGCUAAUAAAACGAAAAAUAUCUUAACAUUUCAGUUUCGACCAUUUUUGGUCACCGAAAGCUCUAUCGAACUGAAAUCUCUAGCAGAUAGCAGUCGGAUUUUAUUUUCCACUUUUCGGGUGUCGGAAUGGCAUGAAACUUUAAAUUUAGCCUCAUAAAAAUAAUCCCGACAUAUUUUCAAGUUUUCAUAAUUUUCUGACACUGUGAAUUUUCUGCUAAAAUAUCAGUCCCAUUUCUCACAGAAAAUUCUAAAUCUUCUGUUUCCGUUCCGAUUUCAGUAUAAGUCGUUUUCGACUUGUAUUUUACUUCUCUAAGUCAAAUAAAAAUAGUAUCUCACACUAUUUUUAUUUAUAUUUAUUUUUAUAUUAAAAAUCCGGUAUAUCACAGUCACUACUUCACGGCUUUUCUCAAACCAUUGAAGCUAG